GCGUGAGUGGAAUUUGGGCGUGAACAGGUCUCAAACUAGAGACUGCGUUGGCAACCUUGGAUGCACGGGGGCAGGGUGGAGGGGUGUUUAAAGACAUUGAUGCCCUGCCCCAGACCAAUUAAACCAGACCCUCUAGGGCUGGUGGGGUUCAGGCAUCCGUAUUUUUUUUUUUAAACAAUUCCCAGUGACUUUAAUGCGCCGCUAGGAUUGAGAACUCCUAGUAGAAGAAUCCAGGGACUCAGAUUCAAGGAAACCCAGAAAUUGAAGAAACCACUGUUGAAUUUCUCAUAUUUUAUUGUUAUGUCUUACAACUCAGCAUUUUUCAGGUCCAGUCUAAAAUUUAAAAAGAUGAACAAUUGCUUUGUGUUUUUCCUGCUCAUCUGGCUUUCCCAGUCCUUUAUUAAGGCACUUAUUUAAUGUGUGAUUGGGGUUAUAUUGAAACAAGACCGAGGGACAUGGCGCUGGCUGGCAUUAACCAAGAUGUUUGAUCACACGCUGUCAGACGCAUUGAUUCUGCACUAAGGCAUAGCAUCAAACCACACAGAGAUGGCCCGCUCUGAAGGCGCUCUUCACUCUACCUUGUAAGACAAUUACCUUGAACCCAGCAGAAGACACCAGGGACGACCAGGGCCAUCCACAAUCACCCAGUCCUGCCAAACCUCUUUUGCAGACAGCC
rnacentral:lncRNA from 1 species